GUUUAUACUGCUGGUGUACAAUCUGUUCUGUUCUGAAGUAACUUGUAGUCAUGUGUUUUAUACUGCUGAUGUACAAUCUGUUAUGUUCUGAGGUAACUUGCAGUUGUAUAUUUUAUACUGCUUGUGUACAAUCUGUUAUGUUCUGAAGUAACUUGUAGUCAUGUGUUUUAUACUGCUUAUGUACAAUCUGUUAUGUUCUGAGGUAACUUGUAGUUGUAUAUUUUAUACUGCUUGUGUACAAUUUGCUAUGUUCUGAGGUAACUUGUAGUUAUGUGUUUUAUACUGCUAAUGUAUUUAUACUGCUGAUGUACAAUCUGUUAUGUUCUGAAGUAACUUGUAGUUGUAUAUUUUAUACUGCUGGUGUACAAUCUGUUAUAUUCUGAAGUAACUUGUAGUU
rnacentral:lncRNA from 1 species